rnacentral:rRNA from 1 species
CAUGGCUGUCGUCAGCUCGUGUCGUGAGAUGUUCGGGUUAAGUCCCGCAACGAGCGCAACCCUUAUCAUUAGUUGCUACGCAAGGGCACUCUAAUGAGACUGCCGGUGACAAACCGGAGGAAGGUGGGGAUGACGUCAAGUCCUCAUGGCCCUUAUGGUAGGGCUUCACACGUCAUACAAUGGUCGGUACAGAGGGUUGCCAAGCCGCGAGGCGGAGCCAAUCCCACAAAGCCGAUCGUAGUCCGGAUUGUUCUCUGCAACUCGAGAGCAUGAAGUCGGAAUCGCUAGUAAUCGCAGGUCAGCAUACUGCGGUGAAUACGUUCCCGGGUCUU